rnacentral:rRNA from 1 species
CAGCAGCCGCGGUAAUACGUAGGGCGCAAGCGUUGUCCGGAAUUAUUGGGCGUAAAGAGCUCGUAGGCGGUCUGUCGCGUCUGGUGUGAAAUCCCGAGGCUCAACCUCGGGCUUGCAUCGGGUACGGGCAGACUAGAGUGCGGUAGGGGAGACUGGAAUUCCUGGUGUAGCGGUGGAAUGCGCAGAUAUCAGGAGGAACACCGAUGGCGAAGGCAGGUCUCUGGGCCGCAACUGACGCUGAGGAGCGAAAGCAUGGGGAGCGAACAGGAUUAGAUACCCGCGUAGUCCCUGUCUCUUAUAC